UGGUUUUGGUUUGAUUUUCUAAUCUUAGCUUUAAAGUUUAAAGCUUAAAGAUAAUGCAUAACACUAAUGUUUUAUGUCAGUUAUUCUGAAUUAUACUAGGUUAUGGUAUAAGCAAUGCAUAAAUACUGUAUCUUGUUAAACAUUCUACAGUGUUCACUCCUUCCUUGGCUAUUCAGUUCCAUUACUUAAUUUAAAAAACAAAUACAUUUAGUAAAUGCUGCUGUAGGAUGGAAAUAAGGAUCAGGGUGUUCCCUAAUAUAUUCAGCUUGUUGUCAUUAAAGCUACAAAGACCUGCAAUUUAGCCACCUCGAAUUUUGGUUAUUCGUUAAACUUUUGUUGCUCUCAAUACACCCAAAAACUCCAGCACUGACAUGCUGUAGUACAAAGCUGCACUGCAAAACCAGGUGAUUCCUGUAAACAUAAAUCCACAGUAGUAUCCAUCUAGCACUGGAAUAUUCUAAAUGUGGAACAAUGAUGCGACUCAUUAACAGGAGAUUUUUCUUCCUGUGUGUCCACAGAACAGAGACAGCAGUUAUUUCCGUAGUAUG